GUCUCUAUAGUGUAAGGGAUUAGCACAUCUGGCUGUUAAUCAGCAGGAUGGUGGUUCAAGCCUACCCAGGGAUA
rnacentral:tRNA from 1 species